AUGACUCGGAUCAGGUAGG
rnacentral:rRNA from 1 species